rnacentral:rRNA from 1 species
UGGGGAAUAUUGGACAAUGGGCGAAAGCCUGAUCCAGCCAUGCCGCGUGUGUGAAGAAGGUCUUCGGAUUGUAAAGCACUUUAAGUUGGGAGGAAGGGCAUUAACCUAAUACGUUAGUGUUUUGACGUUACCGACAGAAUAAGCACCGGCUAACUCUGUGCCAGCAGCCGCGGUAAUACAGAGGGUGCAAGCGUUAAUCGGAAUUACUGGGCGUAAAGCGCGCGUAGGUGGUUUGUUAAGUUGGAUGUGAAAUCCCCGGGCUCAACCUGGGAACUGCAUUCAAAACUGACUGACUAGAGUAUGGUAGAGGGUGGUGGAAUUUCCUGUGUAGCGGUGAAAUGCGUAGAUAUAGGAACGAACACCAGU